AUCCGGUUGACGAGUCCUAAAUAGGACUAAACGCGCCUCCUGGAU
rfam:Schistosoma curassoni strain Dakar, Senegal genome assembly, scaffold: SCTD_scaffold0000077